GAAUGCUGACAUAAGUAACGAUAAAGCGGGUGAAAAGCCCGCUCGCCGGAAGACCAAGGGUUCCUGUCCAACGUUAAUCGGGGCAGGGUGAGUCGACCCCUAAGGCGAGGCCGAAAGGCGUAGUCGAUGGGAAACGGGUUAAUAUUCCCGUACUUGGUGUUACUGCGAAGGGGGGACGGAGAAGGCUAUGUUGGCCGGGCGACGGUUGUCCCGGUUUAAGCGUGUAGGUGUGUGUUCCAGGUAAAUCCGGUUCACUUUAACACUGAGGCGUGACGACGAGGCACUACGGUGCUGAAGCAACAAAUGCCCUGCUUCCAGGAAAAGCCUCUAAGCAUCAGGUAACACGAAAUCGUACCCCAAACCGACACAGGUGGUCAGGUAGAGAAUACCAAGGCGCUUGAGAGAACUCGGGUGAAGGAACUAGGCAAAAUGGUGCCGUAACUUCGGGAGAAGGCAC
rnacentral:rRNA from 1 species